UGCCAGACUCCUACGGGAGGCAGCAGUGAGGAAUAUUGGUCAAUGGGCGCAAGCCUGAACCAGCCAAGUCGCGUGAGGGAAGACGGCCCUACGGGUUGUAAACCUCUUUUGCCGGGGAGCAAGCCUGAGCACGUGUGCCCAGGCGGAGAGUACCCGGAGAAAAAGCAUCGGCUAACUCCGUGCCAGCAGCCGCGGUAAUACGGAGGAUGCGAGCGUUAUCCGGAUUUAUUGGGUUUAAAGGGUGCGUAGGCGGAAUGCCAAGUCAGCGGUAAAAUCGCGGGGCUCAACCUCGCUCCGCCGUUGAAACUGGCGUUCUUGAGUGGGCGAGAAGUAUGCGGAAUGCGUGGUGUAGCGGUGAAAUGCAUAGAUAUCACGCAGAACUCCGAUUGCGAAGGCAGCAUACCGGCGCCCAACUGACGCUGAAGCACGAAAGCGUGGGUAUCGAACAGGAUUAGAUACCCUAGUA
rnacentral:rRNA from 1 species